rnacentral:misc_RNA from 1 species
GAAAUGCGAUACGCAAUGCGAAUUGCAGAAUUCCGCGAGUCAUCAGAUCUUUGAACGCAAGUGGCGCUGGCCGUCAAACGCCAGCAUGCUUGUUUCAGUGUGUUAGGAAUCACACAUCCCAAUGCGAUUGACGAGGUUAUUCACUUAAUCUUUUCUCUCGUUAAACACGACGGCGCCGAGCUUUUUGCGCGGCCGAAAUGAUGUAGUCACUUCCUCGGAAAGUGAUCUCGUUUCGGGUACCGGCGGGCUCACUUAAGGCGUUUUCCGUAUAUAAAACGUUUACAUUAAAACUCCACGACACCUGAAAUCAAGCAAGAUCACCCGCUGAACUUAA